rnacentral:rRNA from 1 species
UACGGAGGGAGCUAGCGUUGUUCGGAAUUACUGGGCGUAAAGCGCGCGUAGGCGGCUUUGUAAGUUAGAGGUGAAAGCCCGGGGCUCAACCCCGGAACUGCCUUUAAGACUGCAUCGCUUGAAUCCGAGAGAGGUGAGUGGAAUUCCGAGUGUAGAGGUGAAAUUCGUAGAUAUUCGGAAGAACACCAGUGGCGAAGGCGGCUCACUGGACCGGUAUUGACGCUGAGGUGCGAAAGCGUGGGGAGCAAACAGG